rnacentral:rRNA from 1 species
GAUGAACGCUGGCGGCGUGCCUAAUACAUGCAAGUCGAGCGAACGGACGAGAAGCUUGCUUCUCUGAUGUUAGCGGCGGACGGGUGAGUAACACGUGGAUAACCUACCUAUAAGACUGGGAUAACUUCGGGAAACCGGAGCUAAUACCGGAUGAUAUUUUGAACCGCAUGGUUCAAAAGUGAAAGACGGUCUUGCUGUCACUUAUAGAUGGAUCCGCGCUGCAUUAGCUAGUUGGUAAGGUAACGGCUUACCAAGGCAACGAUGCAUAGCCGACCUGAGAGGGUGAUCGGCCACACUGGAACUGAGACACGGUCCAGACUCCUACGGGAGGCAGCAGUAGGGAAUCUUCCGCAAUGGGCGAAAGCCUGACGGAGCAACGCCCGUGAGUGAUGAAGGUCUUCGGAUCGUAAAACUCUGUUAUUAGGGAAGAACAUAUGUGUAAGUAACUGUGCACAUCUUGACGGUACCUAAUCAGAAAGCCACGGCUAACUACGUG